UUUGUGUUUCUAUGGAGUAUCAGGAAUUCUGUUACCUCCUUUUCCCUGAAAACACCUACUGUGUGUUGCGGGCUGAUUCAGCCCCACAGCUCCUGUUUUUCCUGGGAAUGUCCAUGUGGACACAUCCAGUGCAGAGGAAAAAGCAUAGUCUGGCUCCUCAGGUUGAGGGAGAGAGUCACAGGUAACCAUGGCAACCAGGCUGGCCCUGGGAGCAGCAAGGCUUUGCAUUCCAAAAAAUAAAAUAGCCCAAAUUCACUACAACAGCCAUUAACACUCCAGCUCCUAUGGAGGUCUCUCCCUCGGAUCUGUUCCUUAGGGAUGCUGACAGCAGUGGCUCUCACACCUAGGGUUCUCAUUUAUUUCGGUCCCUCGCAGCUUAAAGGCAGCAGUGAAUGAAAACCCCAUGGAAUGCACUUAAUGAAAGGUUAAGGAACUUAAACCAGCCUCCAUCCUACAAAUGCUUCAGGAUCCUACAAGACUUACAGUGAUAGUAAAAGCAAACAGAGAGAAGGGUUCAAGUAAAGUCAUAUUUUUCCACUGCUGUGUCACAGCAGUAAUAACUGUAUGUCUUCAAGGCUGCCAAAGGAACAGCACUGCUUUUUCUUGAGAAAGAGUGGUGUUGAAAUUUCAUUUAAGAUCACCCAAAACACGCUCAGCCAGAGGUGAUAAGAAGGUUAAAAAGUUACAGCGGCAAGAAAAGAAGCUGAGGAAAAAUGGGAAAUUCAACUGGCUGUUGAUUAAACAAAUCAGUCAGGGCAUGUCCAGGGACAGAGGGGAACUCCUGGGCACUUCUGGGGGAAAUCAUCCUGUCUCAACAUUUGUGGACCAUUCUGAUGCUCGCCCCUUUUCAAAGUGACUUUGAACUGAUCCCUGUCUCAGAACAGGGUCAAACACACUCCUUUUCCCACCGGGAGGGAAAAGCAAGCACCAAACAGAUUUUGGCUCCCAAGUGCUUACGCAUUAAGCCCUUCAGUCGCUUGGACAUCCACGAAUACGUUAUCCCUCUCUCCUGUAACAAUAUCUGCUCAAUUAUCCUGCCUGUCCCUGCUCGGGAGAGGGCUUGGAGCGAGGCCAGCCACCAGCUGAGAGCUCUCCUUGCCAAAUCUGUCAAGUAAAUUGAUUCUCCUCCAAGACCUUUGAGCCUCUUUCAGCAAAAAGAAACUAUAUUUCAUCUCCUUUUUGCUCAAAGGUCUUGGAGCAAAAAUCUCAAAUCUGGACUAGAGGACAAGAAGUGCCACCCAGGGAACUCUUGGUCACCCACAAUGUAUAGAGAAUUUUGGGAAUGUGUGAGGUACAGCUUUGCUCCUGGAGCCGACCGAGUGGCAGCCAAUGAAGGAUCAGCUGGGAAGGAUGUCCCUCACUUCUGAGGUAUAAAUGUAUUGUUCUGUUUGCUUGUUCACUGCAGAUAUUUUUCAGCUACUGUGCUCGGGGGGUUUUAUAUCCCUUUCCAUCAUACAGCUGCUCCUCAGUUCAUAAACAGUUCUGCAAAUCCAUAAAAAUUAGUAGGCUUGUAAAGAAGUGAAUUGGAGAUAUUUGUUGCACCAGGGUAAGCUGUAACACAUCGCUCUGGUGCAUCACUGCCUCCAGGGAAAAUAACUGGGGAGGAUUUAUUGGGCACCCUCAACAACAGCAGAGGAAAUAAAAGCCACAGCCAAAGGUUUUCCACAGAAAAUAUCCACAUUUCUGCCUUGGGCCAGGCAGCAUUUCUGACUUCUGAGUUUUGCAAGAACAGCUCUUCUACCACUGGAGAUGGCACGAGCCUGGUUUGAGGACAUUCCACACCAGCACUUCCACAAGAGCUGCAGGGAGCUCAUUAAUGUAAUUUCUUAUCUGCCUACAGCCUUAAUGUCUUUUUAAUGCCAGUCAAUGCUAAACACAUCAUGUGUUUGCAGAAAUACAUCUGCAGUGUAAAAAGGGAUGAGAACUAACAAGGCCAAGCUGUGGUCAAACUCUAAAUGAUUUUGCUUCAGACCUAAACGGUUUUGUUUUAAUCACAAUUGUGGUUGCCAAUUUCAUUAGGACAAUCAUCCUGUCUUCCCUGUCUUUCAGCUAGAAAUUGAAUAAAUAAAUAUAUAUUCCAGUGAA